rnacentral:lncRNA from 1 species
UUUCUUUUCAUCUGGUCAAUUCAACUAUUUCAAUUCGAAGAAUUUUUAAAAAAUACUCAUCAAAUUUAUUUCUAGACAGGAAUAAAAAUGUCUGAAUAAAGCCCGUGCAAAUAUAAAUAUUUUAGAAAAGAUUGAAAAUUUGUCACAUCUUGUCAUUUUUUUUCAUGUUCGAUAUCUAUAUUGAGAUUUGAUUAAAUUCAGAUAUUCAGAUUGGCGCAUUACAUGCCCCAAUUCCCAGGAUGAUGUUUCUAGAAUCUUUUUCAUUCUCAAAAGUUCAAAUAAAAAACCUUUAUUUAAGAGUAAAUGGAUCUCAAUUACUCACCGCAAAUCAUAUUGAUAUCUCACCAGUAAAAUUAAUGUUGCUUACAUAUGGAUCAAUCAACCGAUUGAUAGUUAACUAGCUAAAUACCUCUAGUUAAGAGUGAAUAGAUUUUAAUUACGCACUGCAAAUCCUGUCGAUGUAUCGCCAAUAAAUUUAAUAUUGCCUUUGCCUGUGGAUCAAUCAAUCGAU